CGGUCGGUUUUACAGGAACGGAGUUACAGACCGCAAACGUACGCGGCUGUAUAUUUGCGGGAACAUUUUCUGAUGUUGACAAGCGUGUAAGGGGCUUCCUGUUGGUGGUCUGCACGAGGGGUGUUCAAGGGUGGGAACGGAGAGGAAGUGGUUCGGUCCGCUGAGCUCUGGCAGAAUUUGUAAAUGUAUGAUCUAGAUCGGAGGACGACAAGGAGAUGAAAGUGUGAGAGAGAGAGAGAGAGAGAGAGAGAGAGAGAGAGAGAGAGAAAUGAAAUGAGCAAUGGAGACAGAAGCAAAGAGCGCUAGGCCUGGUGCGAGUGUGAAGAGUGUGCGUGUGUGUCUGAUUAAUAUUCAUCAGGCGGAGAAGGCAGAUGUGUCUGACAUCUGUGUGAUGUCAGCGUGUUGUCAACACAUUGUUAGCACUGCAAACGUGCAAACAGAUUAACGGGCUGCGCCGCCUUCUCCGAGUGCGAAAAAAAGAAGCGAUUGCGGAGGAAGAAGGGAAGACAGCUUGUUCCUUCACUUCUUCCUGCCGAGCUUCCGAUGCUCGGCUGCUGCCGCCGAUGGUGUAAAGACGCUCCUCGUGCCAAGCCUCGGCUCGAGCGACUCAUUCUUCCUAAUUAAUCGUUUCCAAGCAGCAACCGGAGUUGAGGUGCGACCUGCUGUUGAUUGACAGACAAUAAGCUCCGCCUCCCUGCUUAAAAGAGAGAAAAUGCAGCUCUCAUCCAGCGAACACCUUCUCCAGACUCCAGAGUGCAGAAGAUUAGAGAGAGAGAAGCAGCCGUGCUCAGGGAGCAGCAUCUGUGCUUCACACUCAGCCGAGCAGUCGCUACCUCAAACGUGACGCUGGAGUGGAGACCAUGUCAAAGCUUCUGGAGUAAGCAGAGCUCACAAUUGAACCCUUGACACCGGGGACACUAUCGUCACCUUCUGCGACACCAGGGAACUCGGGAUCUGUGGAUUACUGCAAAACUUCUACCAGAAUGCCACACACAAGCAUCAGAGGCCACGCCUCCUUUACUCAGACUGGUGCUUUGAGACACAGGAGGGCCACGCCUUUUUCUCUAAAACCUAAAGGCCAUGCCUCCUUACUUGAGUCUGAUGCAGAGACACAGGAAGCCAUGCCUCGUUCUCUGGAACUAGGAAUGAUGCUAUUAGACACAAGAGGCCACGCCUCCUCUUUUUAAACUGACAAUAUGAGACACAGGAAACCACGCCUCCUUCUCCGAGACCCAAAGUCAUCAAAGGCCAGGCUUAAUUUUUGAGUCUAAUGCAGAAAAACAAAUUAGGCCACGCCUCCUUUUUUAAAAUUUGGAAUGAUGUUAUUAGCUAUAGGAAGCCAUGCCUCCUUCUUUAAAUCUUGCACUGAGACACAGGAGAAUGUACCUCCUAGGAGAGGCCACACCUCCUUCAUUUAAAUUCAAGGCCAUGUAUCCUUUUCUAAAACUGAUGCAUAUAGUCCACAGACCACACCUCCUUUACUAAAACUGAUUUGUAUAGACCAAAGGCCACACCACCAUUAUUUAAAUUGAUGCAUAUAAACCAGAAGCCACGCCUCCUUUACUUAAAUUAAUGCAUUUAGACCAGAGGCCACACCCCCUUCACUUAAACUGAUGCAUACACACCAGAGGCCGCACCUCACUUCUCGUCCUUCACACUUCCUUUCUCUUCCCUCUCUUUCUUUCUCUCUUUCUUCUUCUCUCAUUCUAUACUCGUUUACAUUCAUUUUCCUCUCCCCUUUUUUCAUGGUGUCCUUUUCUCUCUCUCUAUUCAAUAUUCUUAAAAAAGACUCUCUCUUUUUCUAUCUUUAGUUCCCUCUCUCUUUUCCCUCAUUCUUUCUGUGAUCUAAUGAGCAGUCAGGGCAAAUUUCAUCAUGGCUGCAUGUUCACUCCAUCUGUUCACUACACUGGGUAGAACACGACAGCAGUGUGAACACUACCUAGUGCACUAUGUAGUGUCAUGUGUUCCUGCAGUCCUAGGAGUUUAAUAUAGUGUGUGUGUGUGUGUGUGUGUGUGUGUGUGUGUGUGUGUGUGUGUGUGUGUGUGUGUGGGUGUGUGUGUGUAUAAAUUAGCCCACGGUGGCCACUUCCUGUUUUCUGAGAGCUGGGAGAAAUACGACGUGUCUAUUUUUACAUCUCUUCUUUUUCCCUUCCUUAGUUUUUCUGUCAUCUUUUGCCUCUCUCUCUCUCUCUCUCUCUCUCUCUCUCUCUCUCU